AACGAACGCUGGCGGCAUGCCUAACACAUGCAAGUCGAACGAGACCUUCGGGUCUAGUGGCGCCCGGGUGCGUAACGCGUGGGAACCUGCCCUUAGGUUCGGCAUAACUCCCCGAAUGGGGUGCUAAUACCGGAUAAUGUCUUCGGACCAAAGAUUUAUCGCCUUUGGAUGGGCCCGCGUUGGAUUAGCUAGUUGGUAGGGUAAAAGCCUACCAAGGCGACGAUCCAUAGCUGGUCUGAGAGGAUGCUCAGCCACACUGGGACUGAGACACGGCCCAGACUCCUACGGGAGGCAGCGGUGGGGAAUAUUGGACAAGGGGCGAAAGCCUGAUCCAGCAAUGCCGCGUGAGUGAUGAAGGCCUUAGGGUUGUAAAGCUCUUUUACCCGGGAUGAUAAUGACAGUACCGGGAGAAUAAGCUCCGGCUAACUCCGUG
rnacentral:rRNA from 1 species